GGAUCACUUCUCCAUCGUCUGUCUGUCUGUCCGUCCGUCCGUCCGUCACAAAACUUGUCCGGACUACUCCUCAUAAACUACUGGUGCAAUAUCAUCCAAACUUUACAGGAAUGAUCAGUACCAAGUCUAGUUGUGCAUAUUGUCAGCAUUUUCCGGUUCAAUGAUUUUUGUCAGAGUUAUGGCCCUUUAAUAAUUUUUAUUUUUAAAGUUUGUCCGGACUACUUCUCUUAAUUAUACCACUAAUGCAAUUUCAAUGACACUUUACAGGAUUGAUCUGUAGCUCAAGUUGUUGCGCAUAUUGCAUGGGUUUUCCGGUUGAAUGAUUGGGUUGGGCUUUUGUCCGUAUCCCGCUACAGACAACUUUUACAUUAUUGUAUUUUUUUUCUCAUAUACAGUGAUAUUGGUAAUUUUUGUAACAUUAUCAUUGUAAGACUAUCAAUAAGCACCAGAAAAACUGUUUUUUAUGGGUAGUGUUUUAUAAUUUGAUAUUUUACGAGAGGGGGACGAACAUAAAGUAUUUUUUACCACUAUAAUGCCUUAAACUAUGGUAAAAAUGUUUACAAAUUUGAACUGAAGACUGACUUUACAUAAUAUUAUGUUUUUAUUUCAUAUUUCAUUUAAGAUUAAGACAAUAAAAUACUAUUUUAUUUGUAAUUUCUUAAAUGUAUACUUGUUUAAUUAAAAACUGAAUUUUGAAAAUUCUGAUGCAUUACAAAAGACUGAUUUUACUAAAAUCAUCUUAUUUAAUAACAAUAAAAACAGGGAUGAUAUAUACCAAGUAUUUUUAAUCACUGGAAAAGUUAUUAAAUUUUCUAUGUGCAUGUCAAAAGAUUUAAGUGAUAGGAUAAAGCAGAUAAAAGUGGUGUUAAUUUUAGAAACACCAAACUGUGAAGUGUCAACAGAUGCUAACAGUCAAUUACAUGUAAAAUUGGGCAUGUUUAGGUUAUAGAAAUGUCUGUAUCUAUAUUUUGGUAAUGCUAUGAUAAAAAAAUUUUGGGCACAUUUGCUUUAUAGUAAGUCCUUUGUAAAAACACAAGAAACAUAAUUGCAAAUGCAAUAUUUAUUGAAAAAGCCUGCAUAAUACAUGUAUUUUUUAGCAAUUGGCCCAUUUACUGUGCAGCAGGCAAUAUGAUCAUUGCUGAUAAUUGUUAAUUUGAUCAUUAAGAUCUUAAACAAGAGAUUGCACCAAUAAUUACCAUUUAAAUAAACAUUGUCUUUUUUUUAUUCAGACCAACUCCUUCCAUGUUAAAGUUAUUAUUGAAACGGAUGCAGGGAAAAAACUUUGCAGACACAAAGCUGAAAGAAGAACUGCAUAAUACAUAACAAAUGUUCAAAUGAGGUACUGAGGGAAAGUGAUGAAGUAGAAAGAAUCCAGAUGCAUAUAAUGACAUUGAUUAUUGAUGGAAUGGAUCAGUGUCAUGAUGGACAAGAGAAGAGGUAGCCAUUUUACAGCUCCAAUCUCUGAUGAUGUUUAAAGACAUAUUUGGAUUUGAUAGAUAUUUUUAAAAAUUGUAUUAUGUUUCUAUUAUGGUUUAUUUUUAUGAAUUUUGUAUGGCUCAAGUGUAAUCAAUUAAAUUUCUGCAUCCGUUGGCAAAAUUGUUUCAUUCCAUCAUGGCUACAUGUUGCUUAAACUUGUUUUGAUAAUUUACAUUUAAAUACUUUCAAUUCAUUUUUGUUUAAUUAUAAAAUAUGAGACAAAUGAUAUUAUAUUUAAUUUCAUAAAUUUCUGAUCAAGCUUAACAAAUUUAAUUCAAAUGAUUCAAAUUGUGCAUUUCUGAUUGAAGUUGGUAGCUGUUUGACUUUGAUAUACUUUUUAGCUCACCUGUCUCAAAGUGACAUAGUAAGUUUUUUUAACGCUUUUCAAUUUCAUCCGGGGUCCUUCCUUAAACUUUUACUUUAAAUGACAUCUCCUCAUAAACCUCUUAGCCAAUUUCACCAAAACUUCACAGGAUUGUUCCUUUUGUAGUCAACUUCAAAAAUUGUUAGAAGAAUUUAAUUCAAUGCAGAACUCUGAUUGCCAUGGCAAACGAAAAGAAAAAAAUUAAAAAAUCUUGUUUUUUAAUAAAAGAGCUAAAAUCUUUGGCAUGAAACAUUGUCUAGUCAGUGUCUACCAAGUUUGUUCAAAAAAAAAAGCCCUGGGGUCAAAAUUGGCCUUCCCCAGGGGGUCAUUGAUUUUCCUUAGUUGUAUAAUAUUAUAGUAAAAACUUUAAAUAUCUUUUUUUUAAAAAUCCAAAUAGCUGGAGCUUAGAUAUUAAUCAUGACACAUCAUCUAGUUAGUGACUACCAAGUUUGUUAAAAUAAAAGCCCUGGUGUCAAAUUUGGCCCCGCGCCAGGGGGGUCAUUGUUUCUGUUUAUGUAUACAGUAAAAACUUAAAAAGUCUUGAAACAUCUUCUAAUGGGUGUCUACCAAGGUUGUUCAAAUAUGGGACCUGGGGUUAAAAUUGGCCCCGGAUCAUCGAUUUUCCUUGUAUGUGUAUAGUAAAAACUUAAUA